GAUGAACGCUGGCGGCGUGCCUAAUACAUGCAAGUCGAGCGAACGGACGAGAAGCUUGCUUCUCUGAUGUUAGCGGCGGACGGGUGAGUAACACGUGGAUAACCUACCUAUAAGACUGGGAUAACUUCGGGAAACCGGAGCUAAUACCGGAUAAUAUUUUGAACCGCAUGGUUCAAAAGUGAAAGACGGUCUUGCUGUCACUUAUAGAUGGAUCCGCGCUACAUUAGCUAGUUGGUAGGGUAACGGCUUACCAAGGCAACGAUGCAUAGCCGACCUGAGAGGGUGAUCGGCCACACUGGAACUGAGACACGGUCCAGACUCCUACGGGAGGCAGCAGUAGGGAAUCUUCCGCAAUGGGCGAAAGCCUGACGGAGCAACGCCGCGUGAGUGAUGAAGGUCUUCGGAUCGUAAAACUCUGUUAUUAGGGAAGAACAUAUGUGUAAGUAACUGUGCACAUCUUGACGGUACCUAAUCAGAAAGCCACGGCUAACUACGUG
rnacentral:rRNA from 1 species